GCCGGGCAUGGUGGCACAUGCCUGUAAUCCCAGCAGCUUGGGAGGCUGAGGCAGGAGGAUCGUGAGUUCAAAGCCAGCCUCAGCAAAAUCGAGGUGCUAAGCAACUCAGUGAGACCCUGUCUCUA
rnacentral:sRNA from 1 species